rnacentral:rRNA from 1 species
AUGGGUCAGCGACUUACGUUCAAUGGCAAGCUUAACCGAGUAGGGGAGGCGCAGCGAAAGCGAGUCCGAACAGGGCGAUAUGAGUCGUUGGGCGUAGACCCGAAACCAGAUGAUCUAUCCAUGGCCAGGCUGAAGGUGUGGUAACACACACUGGAGGGCCGAACCGACUAGUGUUGCAAAAUUAGCGGAUGAGCUGUGGAUAGGGGUGAAAGGCUAAACAAAUCUGGAGAUAGCUGGUUCUCCCCGAAAACUAUUGAGGUAGUGCCUCGUGUAUGGCUCCAGGGGGUAGAGCACUGUUAUGGCUAGGGGGACAUGGCGUCUUACCAAACCAUGGCAAACUCCGAAUACUUGGAAGUCUGAGCACGGGAGACAGAGCACCGGGUGCUAACGUCCGGACUCAAAAGGGAAACAACCCAGACCGCCGGCUAAGGUCCCUAAUAUUGACUAAGUGGAAAACGAAGUGGGAAGGCUAAGACAGUCAGGAAGUUGGCUUAGAAGCAGCCAUCCUUCAAAGAAAGCGUAAUAGCUCACUGAUCGAGUCUUCCUGCGCGGAAGAUGUAACGGGGCUAAGUCAAUAACCGAAGCCGCGGAUUCGCAGCAAUGCGAGUGGUAGGGGAGCGUUCUGUAAGCCUGCGAAGGCGGAUCCGCGAGGACCGCUGGAGGUAUCAGAAGUGCGAAUGCUGACAUGAGUAACGUUAAAGCGGGUGAAAAGCCCGCUCGCCGCAAGCCCAAGGUUUCCUGCUCUACGUUCAUCGGAGCAGGGUGAGUCGGCCCCUAAGGUCAGGCUGAGAAGCGUAGCUGAUGGGAAGCUGGUUAAUAUUCCAGCACCGAUUUCAAGUGCGAAGGGGGGACGGAGUCCUGAAGGUCAUCCGGGUGUUGGAUAUCCCGGUUUACGAGCGUAGGAGGUUGACAGGCAAAUCCGUCAACGGAUCUCCAAGGCGAAGGAUCGAGGUUGAGAGAUCAACUGAAGUGACUGAAUGGGCUUCCAGGAAAAGCCUCUAAGCAUCAGCUUGGAAUUGACCGUACCGCAAACCGACACUGGUGGGCGAGCUGAAUAUGCUCAGGCGCUUGAGAGAACUCAGGAGAAGGAACUCGGCAAAUUGACACCGUAACUUCGGGAUAAGGUGUGCCUUUGUAGUGUGAAGGGAGAAACACCCCGAGCAUGAAGAGGCCUCAGAGAAUCGGUGGCUGCAACUGUUUACUAAAAACACAGCACUCUGCAAAGAUGAAAGUCGACGUAUAGGGUGUGAUGCCUGCCCGGUGCUGGAAGAUUAAUUGAUGGGGUGCAAGCUCCUGAUCGAAGUCCCAGUAAACGGCGGCCGUAACUAUAACGGUCCUAAGGUAGCGAAAUUCCUUGUCGGGCAAGUUCCGACCUGCACGAAUGGCAUAAUGAUGGCCACACUGUCUCCUCCUGAGACUCAGUGAAGUUGAAAUGUUUGUGAUGAUGCAAUCUCCCCGCGGCUAGACGGAAAGACCCCAUGAACCUUUACUGCAGCUUUGCAUUGGACUUUGAACCGAUCUGUGUAGGAUAGGUGGGAGGCAGUGAAGCUAGGACGCCAGUCUUAGCGGAGCCAACCUUGAAAUACCACCCUGAUUUGUUUGAGGUUCUAACCUAGGAGCGUAAUCCGCUUCGGGGACCGUGCAUGGUAGGCAGUUUGACUGGGGCGGUCUCCUCCUAAAGGGUAACGGAGGAGUGCGAAGGUACGCUAGGUACGGUCGGAAAUCGUGCUGAUAGUGCAAUGGCAAAAGCGUGCUUGACUGCGAGACCGACAAGUCGAGCAGAUACGAAAGUAGGUCAUAGUGAUCCGGUGGCUCUGCAUGGAAGGGCCAUCGCUCAACGGAUAAAAGGUACUCUGGGGAUAACAGGCUGAUACCGCCCAAGAGUUCAUAUCGACGGCGGUGUUUGGCACCUCGAUGUCG